rnacentral:rRNA from 1 species
CUUCAUACAUGCAAGUCGGACGAUUAAAGCCCGCAAGGGCAUAUAAAGUGGCGAACGGGUGAGUAACAGGUGGAUAACCUGCCCUGUAGCGGGGGACAACAGCUGGAAACGGCUGCUAAUACCGCAUGUGGUUGCGCUCCUCAGGGAGUGCAAAGAAAGGCGCGUUUGCGCCACUACAGGAUGGAUCCGCCCCCCAUUAGCUAGUUGGUGAGAUAAUAGCCCACCAAGGCAACGAUGGGUAGCCGGACUGAGAGGUUGGCCGGCCACACUGGGACUGAGACACGGCCCAGACACCUACGGGUGGCAGCAGUAGGGAAUAUUGGACAAUGGGCGCAAGCCUGAUCCAGCCAUGCCGCGUGAACGACGAAGGCCUUCGGGUUGUAAAGUUCUUUUCUGAGGGAAGAACAUCCCGGGUAGGAAAUGUCCCGGGUUUGACGGUACCUCAGGAAUAAGCAACGGCUAACUCCGUGCCAGCAGCCGCGGUAGUACGGAGGUUGCAAGCGUUGUUCGGAUUUACUGGGCGUAAAGGGAGCGCAGGCGGUUUGGUCAGUCUGAAGUGAAAUCCCGGGGCUCAACCCCGGAAUGGCUUUGGAUACUGCCAGACUUGAGUUCGUGAGAGGCGAGUGGAAUUCCAGGUGUAGCGGUGAAAUGCGUAGAUAUCUGGAGGAACACCAGUGGCGAAAGCGGCUCGCUGGCACGAUACUGACGCUCAUGCUCGAAAGCGUGGGGAGCGAACGGGAUUAGAUACCCCGGUAGUCCACGCCGUAAACGUUGUGCACUAGGUGUAGGAGGUAUCGACCCCUCCUGUGCCGUAGCUAACGCGUUAAGUGCCCCGCCUGGGGAGUACGGCCGCAAGGUUGAAACUCAAAUGAAUUGACGG